AGCAGCCGCGGUAAUUCCAGCUCCAAUAGCGUAUAUUAAAGUUGUUGCAGUUAAAAAGCUCGUAGUUGAACUUCAGGCCUGGCUGGACGGUCCGCCUUCUGGGUGAGUACUGUCUGUGGUCGGGUCCUACCUUCUGGCGAAGCGUCAUGGCCUUCACCGGCCGUGGCGGGGAGCCAGGACUUUUACUGUGAAAAAAUUAGAGUGUUCAAAGCAGGCACGCGCUUGAAUACAUUAGCAUGGAAUAAUGGAAUAGGACAGUGGUUCUAUUUGUUGGUUUCUAGGACCGUUGUAAUGAUUAAUAGGGAUAGUUGGGGGCAUUAGUAUUCAAUUGUCAGAGGUGAAAUUCUUGGAUUUAUUGAAGACUAACUACUGCGAAAGCAUUUGCCAAGGAUGUUUUCAUUAAUCAAGAACGAAAGUUAGGGGAUCGAAGACGAUCAGAUACCGUCGUAGUCUUAACCAUAAACUAUGCCGACCAGGGAAUCGGGCGAUGUUGACAAAAUGACGCGCUCGGCA
rnacentral:rRNA from 1 species